CGGGAGUAACGCGUGGGUAACCUGCCUUAUACAGGGGGAUAACAGUCAGAAAUGACUGCUAAUACCGCAUAAGCGCACAGAGCUGCAUGGCUCAGUGUGAAAAACUCCGGUGGUAUAAGAUGGACCCGCGUUGGAUUAGCUAGUUGGUGAGGUAACGGCCCACCAAGGCGACGAUCCAUAGCCGGCCUGAGAGGGUGAACGGCCACAUUGGGACUGAGACACGGCCCAG
rnacentral:rRNA from 1 species